GAUGAACGCUGGCGGCGUGCCUAAUACAUGCAAGUCGAGCGAACAGAUGAGGAGCUUGCUCCUCUGACGUUAGCGGCGGACGGGUGAGUAACACGUGGAUAACCUACCUAUAAGACUGGGAUAACUUCGGGAAACCGGAGCUAAUACCGGAUAACAUAUUGAACCGCAUGGUUCAAUAGUGAAAGACGGUUUUGCUGUCACUUAUAGAUGGAUCCGCGCCGCAUUAGCUAGUUGGUAAGGUAACGGCUUACCAAGGCAACGAUGCGUAGCCGACCUGAGAGGGUGAUCGGCCACACUGGAACUGAGACACGGUCCAGACUCCUACGGGAGGCAGCAGUAGGGAAUCUUCCGCAAUGGGCGAAAGCCUGACGGAGCAACGCCGCGUGAGUGAUGAAGGUCUUCGGAUCGUAAAACUCUGUUAUUAGGGAAGAACAAAUGUGUAAGUAACUAUGCACAUCUUGACGGUACCUAAUCAGAAAGCCACGGCUAACUACGUG
rnacentral:rRNA from 1 species